rnacentral:rRNA from 1 species
AGAGUUUGAUCCUGGCUCAGGAUGAACGCUAGCUACAGGCUUAACACAUGCAAGUCGAGGGGAAACGAUAGAGAAAGCUUGCUUUUUCCAGGCGUCGACCGGCGCACGGGUGAGUAACGCGUAUCCAACCUGCCCACCACUUGGGAAUAACCUUGCGAAAGUAAGACUAAUACCCAAUGAUAUCUCUAGAAGACAUCUGAAGGAGAUUAAAGAUUUAUCGGUGAUGGAUGGGGAUGCGUCUGAUUAGCUUGUUGGCGGGGUAACGGCCCACCAAGGCGACGAUCAGUAGGGGUUCUGAGAGGAAGGUCCCCCACAUUGGAACUGAGACACGGUCCAAACUCCUACGGGAGGCAGCAGUGAGGAAUAUUGGUCAAUGGGCGAGAGCCUGAAUCAGCCAAGUAGCGUGCAGGAAGACGGCCCUAUGGGUUGUAAACUGCUUUUAUAAGGGAAUAAAGUGAGUCUCGUGAGACUUUUUGCAUGUACCUUAUGAAUAAGGACCGGCUAAUUCCGUGCCAGCAGCCGCGGUAAUACGGAAGGUCCGGGCGUUAUCCGGAUUUAUUGGGUUUAAAGGGAGCGUAGGCCGGAGAUUAAGCGUGUUGUGAAAUGUAGACGCUCAACGUCUGCACUGCAGCGCGAACUGGUUUCCUUGAGUACGCACGAAGUGGGCGGAAUUCGUGGUGUAGCGGUGAAAUGCUUAGAUAUCACGAAGAACUCCGAUUGCGAAGGCAGCUCACUGGAGCGCAACUGACGCUGAAGCUCGAAAGUGCGGGUAUCGAACAGGAUUAGAUACCCUGGUAGUCCGCACGGUAAACGAUGGAUGCCCGCUGUUGGUCUGAAUAGGUCAGCGGCCAAGCGAAAGCAUUAAGCAUCCCACCUGGGGAGUACGCCGGCAACGGUGAAACUCAAAGGAAUUGACG